GGAGGGGGCGGGAAAUGGCUGACAACCGGUCGCGGCCGGUUAAAACCGGUCGGCGCCGGCGGCUGUGAGGGAAAGGGCGGGACGCGGCCGCCGCCCUGAGGGGAAGAAGGCAGCGGGGUGUGCGGAGCGGCGGUAUUCCCGCGGGCAGCGGCGGUAUUCCCGCGGGGAGCGGCGGUAUUCCCGCGGGCAGCGGGGCUUGCAGUGUUACUCCUGGGGAGGUGUGUGUGUGUGGAAGGUUGGGUCACGCUGAGGUGCCGUCUUUAAUCGGAUUUGGUGACAAUAAUUGAUUUUGGCGCUCGGAACGCUGGGGCGUAGGUGGCGGUGUAGGCUCACGUGCAGGUUCGUAAGCGUAAUAGAGGUGGUGACGCAGCGCGGGGCUGUGCGUCUUCUCAAAUAGAAAUACCCGCACGCAGUUGUGGUGAUAAAUUCGGAGGUUUCCCCAGUCUUUGUAAAAGCCAGCCUAACCUCUGCCCUUUAUGCCGGUGCCUCUGUAUAACGUGGUUACGUGACGGUUCCCAACCAACACUUCCUUACGUAGGUUUUGCUGUUUUAUUUUUAACAACUAAAUGCGUAUCAUUCUCAGGUACUUUACUGUUUUCCUGACAAGCGCUGCGUAUCAUCGUGUUGACUCCAGUUCCCCCUGCCAAGAGGAUGCUGCUCAAACCGAGGUGGCAGGGCUGAGCCCACAUUUGCAGAAGGCGAUCGCUCUACGUUCCUCUCUGUUUCUCUCCAGUGUAGGCUCAGACCAGGUGCUGAGGGAUCGGUGCAGCUAACUUGCUGCUGGCUGUGGUUCACUGCCAGUAACAGUGACGCUUCAGGAUCAGUGGCAAUAAUUGGGAGUUUAUUACGGAUUGUUGUGCUUUUUCUGUCUUCUGGCUGGGUUUUAGCUGGCAUGCAGUGUUGUGAGGCAAGCUGUGUCUGUUUUCUGUAACACUGCAAGGUGGCAGCCUACAGCUUCUGAGGUGGCUCUGGAGUAAUCAGGAAAAUGACUUGUUUUUACAGAAAUACAUCUGAAUGUGAAUCUUUUAGUCUGUGCAGUAUCUCCUAUGUUAUUUGAUGUUCUGUAUUGUUUAUUUUUCUCUCACUCUUCAGCGUGCAGUCCUGCAGAAGUUGUCAGAGAGGAAUAGAAGUGCUUCGGGUGGUUUCGUAGUGCGGUUUCCUGGGCUCCUGCAGUGCUUGGAGAGGGGUAGGACAUUCUGGGUGAUGUGAUGGGUUCAGACUUAGGCUGUGCUGUCUGAGCUCUGUGCUCAGGGCUAAUUCGGGGCUCUCAGGACAGAAGUGAGCGAGAAAGAAGAAAGGGCAAAAGCAGGUACAGAGGCAGAAGUGCUGUGAAUACCAGGGCGGAAAGCCAGACCCCUUCCUUCAGCCAAGAGGCUGCGUUCUGCUCUGGAAGCAGUAACUGGAGCUGGUUGAUGUGAGAAGCACUUCUCGCUGGUGGUUACUUUCCUGACAUCCUCCACUUUGUCACUUCAGGAUAUGUUGGUAUUAGAACUGUUCAGAGAAAGGAUGGCAAGAAUUCUCAUGUACAGAGGGAGAGGAUGCGAGCUUAGCCUGAGGCAGACGAGUGGCCAAGUCAGCUCAAGGUGCUCCUCCAGCAAGGUGUGAGAACAGAGAGAAGGAGAAAUAGAAAAGGAAGGGCUGGGAGCCAGACAUUCGGCUGUGAGCCGUGGGGCAACCUUGCUCUUGUACUGCCCUGCAUCACUUACUAUCCAUAAAGGAACAGGUUGUGUCUCUCCUGAACUCCAAUGUCUGGUUUAGCGGGUGGUAAUAAGUGUUUGGAAAUUAUCUCCUGGUGGCCACUGUCUGAGGAGAAGGAGCAUGAGGCAGAACAGUGUGGGGAGUGACUGAACGCUGUGGAGUCCACGUGGGGAUAGCAGAGAGCCCGAAAACAGUUUUAUGUGCACAUUCUUGCCUUUUAUUUUAUCUUCUUUUUAUCUUUCCAGUGUACUAAGUGGGUAAGUGGGGGGAAAAGAGAAAAAGCCCUCCAGUACUACACACAGUGCAGGGUGUUUCUGAAGUACCAAGGCCUGAAUGAAGAUAACAACUGAAAUGACCAUUUAAGUUGUAACAAAAUAAAGAUUUUAAGGCUUUUUCAAAAUCUCUCCAGAAAAGAAAUAUUUUAAUCUCAAAAUUUUGAAGAGGAAAGAAUAAAAUUGGUAACAUUUGUUACAGAAUUAGAAUAAUAGGAACAGGCUAAGCUGUUUUGUUAUGCCUCGGUGUGUGGCUUUGCCAUAUAUAUUACAAAAAUACAAAAAUCUAUUUGUUUGAUGUAGGGUGGUUUCUUGUUUUUUUUCCAGCAGGUUCUGUGCAUGCAGAAAGCCUGGCAAAGUGAAGGAGACCGAGAGUACCUACAACCUUAGUUGCUUCUCUCUUCUGGCUGGCUUUGCACUGUGUCUGUUUUUGGGCAGCCUUGGAGACAUGUACACUGGGAAAGGAAACUGUGAAGGAGCUAGGAAUGGAAAUUGUCACUGUGAGAACUGGUACGCUCUUUAAGUGAAACGAAAUGGUACUUGCCUACUGGAUGUCUGAGCAGUCUGCGGUCUGAAUAUUACACCGUAGUUACUCACAAGGAUAAAAAGAGUAUUUCCAGUUGCUAUUUCUAUAGCUGAGCCACCCUCAGAGGCUCAGGUUUGGUUUUACUUCCUAAUAUCUUUGUUUUGAUUUGAUUUGUAGUAAAUUAAAUUGAUUUUGUUUCUUC